rnacentral:rRNA from 1 species
GAACGGGUGAGUAACACGUGGGUGAUCUGCCCUGCACUUUGGGAUAAGCCUGGGAAACUGGGUCUAAUACCGAAUAUGAUCAUGCGCCUCAUGGUGUGUGGUGGAAAGCUUUUGCGGUGUGGGAUGGGCCCGCGGCCUAUCAGCUUGUUGGUGGGGUAAUGGCCUACCAAGGCGACGACGGGUAGCCGGCCUGAGAGGGUGUCCGGCCACACUGGGACUGAGAUACGGCCCAGACUCCUACGGGAGGCAGCAGUGGGGAAUAUUGCACAAUGGGCGCAAGCCUGAUGCAGCGACGCCGCGUGAGGGAUGACGGCCUUCGGGUUGUAAACCUCUUUCAGUAGGGACGAAGCGCAAGUGACGGUACCUAUAGAAGAAGGACCGGCCAACUACGUGCCAGCAGCCGCGGUAAUACGUAGGGUCCGAGCGUUGUCCGGAAUUACUGGGCGUAAAGAGCUCGUAGGUGGUUUGUCGCGUUGUUCGUGAAAACUCACAGCUUAACUGUGGGCGUGCGGGCGAUACGGGCAGACUUGAGUACUGCAGGGGAGACUGGAAUUCCUGGUGUAGCGGUGGAAUGCG